GUCCGGUUGGCACUAUGUUGGGUAAAGCACCCAACCGGAAAUUGGGGGAUCUGGGUUCAAGUCCCGGUCCGGGCU
rnacentral:tRNA from 1 species